UACGUAGGGUGCAAGCGUUGUCCGGAUUUAUUGGGCGUAAAGAGCGUGUAGGCGGCUUUACAGGUCCGUUGUGAAAACUCGAGGCUCAACCUCGAGACGCCGGUGGAAACCGUAAAGCUAGAGUCCGGAAGAGGAGAGUGGAAUUCCUGGUGUAGCGGUGAAAUGCGCAGAUAUCAGGAGGAACACCGGUGGCGAAGGCGGUUCUCUGGGCAGUACCUGACGCUGAGGAGCGAAAGCGUGGGGAGCAAACAGG
rnacentral:rRNA from 1 species